rnacentral:rRNA from 1 species
UGAGGAACAUGACUUUCGGUGGGGGAGUAGCCGGCCCAACGGCCGGGUAAUACCGCGUACGACCACUUGGGGACAUCCCCGAAUGGUGAAAGCAGCAAUGCGCCGAAAGAGUGCCUCGCGGCCUAUCAGCUAGUUGGUGAGGUAAUGGCUCACCAAGGCGACGACGGGUAGCUGGUCUGAGAGGAUGGCCAGCCACAUUGGGACUGAGACACGGCCCAGACUCCGUACGGGAGCAG